UACGUAGGGGGCAAGCGUUGUCCGGAUUCAUUGGGCGUAAAGAGCGUGUAGGCGGCCAGGUAGGUCGGUUGUGAAAACUGGAGGCUCAACCUUCAGAGGUCGACCGAAACCAUCUGGCUAGAGUCCGGGAGAGGAGAGUGGAAUUCCUGGUGUAGCGGUGAAAUGCGCAGAUAUCAGGAAGAACACCCGUGGCGAAAGCGGCUCUCUGGAACGGUACUGACGCUGAGGCGCGAAAGCGUGGGGAGCAAACAGG
rnacentral:rRNA from 1 species